UACGGAGGGUCCGAGCGUUAUCCGGACUCAUUGGGUUUAAAGGGUCCGUCGGCGGGACAUUAAGUCAGGGGUGAAAUGUUGCAGCUCAACUGCAGAAUGGCCUUUGAUACUGGUGUUCUUGAGUUAUGUUGCUGUGGUCGGAACAUGUGGUGUAGCGGUGAAAUGCAUAGAUAUCACAUAGAACGCCGAUUGCGAAGGCACGUCACAAAGCAUAUACUGACGCUGAGGGACGAAAGCGUGGGGAGCGAACGGG
rnacentral:rRNA from 1 species